rnacentral:rRNA from 1 species
UGGGGAAUUUUGGACAAUGGGCGAAAGCCUGAUCCAGCAAUGCCGCGUGUGUGAAGAAGGCCUUCGGGUUGUAAAGCACUUUUGUCCGGAAAGAAAUCCUUGGCUCUAAUACAGUCGGGGGAUGACGGUACCGGAAGAAUAAGCACCGGCUAACUACGUGCCAGCAGCCGCGGUAAUACGUAGGGUGCAAGCGUUAAUCGGAAUUACUGGGCGUAAAGCGUGCGCAGGCGGUUUGCUAAGACCGAUGUGAAAUCCCCGGGCUCAACCUGGGAACUGCAUUGGUGACUGGCAGGCUAGAGUAUGGCAGAGGGGGGUAGAAUUCCACGUGUAGCAGUGAAAUGCGUAGAGAUGUGGAGGAAUACCGAUGGCGAAGGCAGCCCCCUGGGCCAAUACUGACGCUCAUGCACGAAAGCGUGGGGAGCAAACAGGAUUAGAUACCCUGGUAGUCCACGCCCUAAACGAUGUCACUAGUUGUUGGGGAUUCAUUUCCUUAGUAACGUAGCUAACGCGUGAAGUUGACCGCCUGGGGGAGUACGGUCGCAAGAUUAAAACUCAAAGGAAUUGACGGGGUCAUAGCUGUUUCCU